AAAAUAGGUGCCUACUAUGGGCCUGGCACGGUUCUAGCAGCUGGGGAUACAACGGUGACCUCAGCAGACCCUGCUUUCAAAGAGCUUGCGCUUGGGUCCAGGACACUGAUUAGCAAACAGGCAUUUGCCCUCCGCGUGUUCCUUCUUUUUUAUUUAAAAUGCUGAUUUUUGAAGUAGCAAGCAACUGUUCAAGGUACCACUCAGGAAGAUGAGCAAAUCGAGGAAGUCCCUCUGGCCUAAAAAUUCUAUCAACUUGCCCAGGAAAUGAAGGCCUGAGAAUUGCACCAGGUGCUCGCUGGCCUCCUAGAUGCAUCUCAGCCUCUGCAUGGGCCAGAAAUGAGUAAUGUAUAACCCCCAAGGGUGACACAAGAUCUCCCACCCAAUUCUGUUCUUCUGGGUAUUUAGGGAAGAGCAAUAUCCAGGGCAAGGUGACGGUACUUCGCUCCACGGGACCGAAAUUUAGCAUCAACUGGAGAGUUGAAUCUAGAGGGUGGUCUGGGAGGCUGGGUAGAAUUGGAUUGAUUAUUAGGAGAAAAUUCGAAUAAUAUCAUUUAAGUACACACACAUUCUGAAUUAAAUACACAUUUGUGGAUCCCUGUACUUCUUAAUAAAAGGACACUUAGUUCCAAGUUCUCGUUAAGAAGCUGAUAAGCAUCCAUUUUCUUCUAUUCCGACAAUGAUUAUUCCUCAACUCUAUAAAAUUUACAAACUGCUUCGGAAGCAUUGGUGGAGAAAGGUGCUGUAUGAAUAUAUGAGAUUAUUGAAAUAAAUGCUAAUUUAGAGAUUUCCCAGGUGGAGAGUUAAAAUAU
rnacentral:lncRNA from 1 species